rnacentral:rRNA from 1 species
GAUGAACGCUGGCGGCGUGCUUAACACAUGCAAGUCGAACGAAGCACUUUAAUUGAUUUCUUCGGAAAGAAGUUUUUGUGACUGAGUGGCGGACGGGUGAGUAACGCGUGGGUAACCUGCCUCAUACAGGGGGAUAACAGUUGGAAACGACUGCUAAUACCGCAUAAGCGCACAGGAUUGCAUGAUCCAGUGUGAAAAACUCCGGUGGUAUGAGAUGGACCCGCGUCUGAUUAGCCAGUUGGCGGGGUAACGGCCGACCAAAGCGACGAUCAGUAGCCGACCUGAGAGGGUGACCGGCCACAUUGGGACUGAGACACGGCCCAAACUCCUACGGGAGGCAGCA